UUCCUGGUGGUCCAGUGGUUAGGACUCAUUGCUCUUCAAUGCAGAGUCCCAGGUUUGAUCCCUGGUCAGGGAA
rnacentral:tRNA from 1 species